GAUGAACGCUGGCGGCGUGCCUAAUACAUGCAAGUCGAGCGAACGGACGAGAAGCUUGCUCUUCUGAUGUUAGCGGCGGACGGGUGAGUAACACGUGGAUAACCUACCUAUAAGACUGGGAUAACUUCGGGAAACCGGAGCUAAUACCGGAUAAUAUUUUGAACCGCAUGGUUCAAAAGUGAAAGACGGUCUUGCUGUCACUUAUAGAUGGAUCCGCGCUGCAUUAGCUAGUUGGUAAGGUAACGGCUUACCAAGGCAACGAUGCAUAGCCGACCUGAGAGGGUGAUCGGCCACACUGGAACUGAGACACGGUCCAGACUCCUACGGGAGGCAGCAGUAGGGAAUCUUCCGCAAUGGGCGAAAGCCUGACGGAGCAACGCCGCGUGAGUGAUGAAGGUCUUCGGAUCGUAAAACUCUGUUAUUAGGGAAGAACAUAUGUGUAAGUAACUAUGCACAUCUUGACGGUACCUAAUCAGAAAGCCACGGCUAACUACGUG
rnacentral:rRNA from 1 species